GUAAAUAUAGUUUAAUUAAAAUUUUAGGUCGUGACCCUAGAGACGAAGGUUAAAUCCCUCCUAUUUACC
rnacentral:tRNA from 1 species